GAUGAACGCUCGCGGGAGGCCUAACACAUGCAAGCCGAGCGGUAGAGUUUCUUCGGAAACUUGAGAGCGGCGCACGGGUGCGUAACACGUGUGCAACCUACCUUUAUCUGGGGGAUAGCCUUUCGAAAGGAAGAUUAAUACCCCAUAAUAUAAUGAUUGGCAUCAAUUAUUAUUGAAAACUCCGGUGGAUAGAGAUGGGCACGCGCAAGAUUAGAUAGUUGGUGAGGUAACGGCUCACCAAGUCAAUGAUCUUUAGGGGUCCUGAGAGGGAGAUCCCCCACACUGGGACUGGGACACGGACCAGACUCCUACGGGAGGCAGCAGUGAGGAAUAUUGGACAAUGGGUGAGAGCCUGAUCCAGCCAUCCCGCGUGAAGGAUGACGGUCCUAUGGAUUGUAAACUUCUUUUGUACAGGGAUAAACCUACCCUCGUGAGGGUAGCUGAAGGUACUGUACGAAUAAGCACCGGCUAACUCCGUG
rnacentral:rRNA from 1 species